GUCUCUGGCCGUCCGAGUUGUAAUCUAGAGAAGUAAUGCCCGCGCUGGACCGUGUACAAGUCUCCUGGGAUGGAGCGUCAUAGAGGGUGAGAAUCCCGUCUCUGACACGGACUACCAGGGCUUUGUGGUAUGCUCUCAAAGAGUCGAGUUGUUUGGGAAUGCAGCUCAAAAUGGGUGGUAAAUUCCAUCUAAAGCUAAAUAUUGGCGAGAGACCGAUAGCGAACAAGUACCGUGAGGGAAAGAUGAAAAGAACUUUGGAAAGAGAGUUAAACAGUACGUGAAAUUGCUGAAAGGGAAACGCUUGAAGUCAGUCGCGUUGGCCAGGGAUCAGCCUCACUCUUGUGUGGUGUACUUUCUGGUUGACGGGUCAGCAUCAAUUUUGACCGCUGGAAAAAGGCCUGGGGAAUGUGGCAGCUUCGGCUGUGUUAUAGCCCCUAGUCACAUAUAGCGGUUGGGAUUGAGGAACUCAGCACGCCGCAAGGCCGGGUUUCGACCACGUUCGUGCUUAGGAUGCUGGCAUAAUGGCUUUAAGCGACCCGUCUUGAAACACGGACCAAGGAGUCUAACAUGCCUGCGAGUAUUUGGGUGGAAAACCCGAGUGCGUAAUGAAAGUGAAAGUUGAGAUCCCUGUCGUGGGGAGCAUCGACGCCCGGACCAGAACUUUUGGGACGGAUCCGCGGUAGAGCAUGUAUGUUGGGACCCGAAAGAUGGUGAACUAUGCCUGAAUAGGGUGAAGCCAGAGGAAACUCUGGUGGAGGCUCGUAGCGAUUCUGACGUGCAAAUCGAUCGUCAAAUUUGGGUAUAGGGGCGAAAGACUAAUCGAACCAUCUAGUAGCUGGUUCCUGCCGAA
rnacentral:rRNA from 1 species